rnacentral:tRNA from 1 species
CGGGGCGUAGCGCAGCCCGGUUAGCGUUUGGGACGCUGAGGUCGGCGGUUCGAAUCCGCCCGCCCUGA